AGAGUUUGAUCCUGGCUCAGGAUGAACGCUAGCGACAGGCUUAACACAUGCAAGUCGAGGGGCAGCACAGGUAGCAAUACCGGGUGGCGACCGGCGCACGGGUGAGUAACGCGUAUGCAACUUACCUAUCAGAGGGGGAUAACCCGGCGAAAGUCGGACUAAUACCGCAUGAAGCAGGGGCCCCGCAUGGGGAUAUUUGCUAAAGAUUCAUCGCUGAUAGAUAGGCAUGCGUUCCAUUAGGCAGUUGGCGGGGUAACGGCCCACCAAACCGACGAUGGAUAGGGGUUCUGAGAGGAAGGUCCCCCACAUUGGUACUGAGACACGGACCAAACUCCUACGGGAGGCAGCAGUGAGGAAUAUUGGUCAAUGGCCGAGAGGCUGAACCAGCCAAGUCGCGUGAAGGAAGAAGGAUCUAUGGUUUGUAAACUUCUUUUAUAGGGGAAUAAAGUGGAGGACGUGUCCUUUUUUGUAUGUACCCUAUGAAUAAGCAUCGGCUAACUCCGUGCCAGCAGCCGCGGUAAUACGGAGGAUGCGAGCGUUAUCCGGAUUUAUUGGGUUUAAAGGGUGCGUAGGCGGUUUAUUAAGUUAGUGGUUAAAUAUUUGAGCUAAACUCAAUUGUGCCAUUAAUACUGGUAAACUGGAGUACAGACGAGGUAGGCGGAAUAAGUUAAGUAGCGGUGAAAUGCAUAGAUAUAACUUAGAACUCCGAUAGCGAAGGCAGCUUACCAGACUGUAACUGACGCUGAUGCACGAGAGCGUGGGUAGCGAACAGGAUUAGAUACCCUGGUAGUCCACGCCGUAAACGAUGCUCACUGGUUCUGUGCGAUAUAUUGUACGGGAUUAAGCGAAAGUAUUAAGUGAGCCACCUGGGGAGUACGUCGGCAACGAUGAAACUCAAAGGAAUUGACGGGGGCCCGCACAAGCGGAGGAACAUGUG
rnacentral:rRNA from 1 species